rnacentral:rRNA from 1 species
UACGAAGGGGGCUAGCGUUGCUCGGAAUCACUGGGCGUAAAGGGUGCGUAGGCGGGGCUUUAAGUCAGGGGUGAAAUCCUGGAGCUCAACUCCAGAACUGCCUUUGAUACUGAGGAUCUUGAGUUCGGGAGAGGUGAGUGGAACUGCGAGUGUAGAGGUGAAAUUCGUAGAUAUUCGCAAGAACACCAGUGGCGAAGGCGGCUCACUGGCCCGAUACUGACGCUGAGGCACGAAAGCGUGUGGAGCAAACAGG